GUCUACAGCCAUGCCACCCUGAACAUGCCCGAUCCCGUCUGAUCUUGGAAGCUAAGCAGGGUCGGGCUUGGUUAGUACUUGGAUGGGAGAUCACCUAGGAAGACCAGGUGCUGCAGGCA
rnacentral:rRNA from 1 species